rnacentral:rRNA from 1 species
GAAAUGCGAUAAGUAAUGUGAAUUGCAGAAUUCAGUGAAUCAUCGAAUCUUUGAACGCGCCUUGCGCUCCUUGGUAUUCCUCGGAGCAUGCCUGUUUGAGUAUCAUGAAAUUCUCAAAAUAAAUCUUUUGUUCAUUCGAUUGAUUUUAUUUUGGACUUGGAGGUCUUGCAGAUUCACGUCUGCUCCUCUUAAAUUCAUUAGCUGGAUCUCGAUGAGCUCGGUUCCACUCGGCGUGAUAAGUAUCACUCGCUGAGGACACUGUAAAAGGUGGCCGGGAAUAUCUAUGAACCGCUUCUAAUAGUCCAUUGACUUGGACAAAAAUUACUUUAUGAUCUGAUCUCAAAAUCAGGUAGGACUACCCGCUGAACUUAAGCAUAUCAAUAAGCGGAAGGAAAAGAAACUAACAAGGAUUCCCCUAGU